CUCGGCAGCUAUCUUUCUGCAACUCUCACAUGGUUGCCCACUGAAGCUAAGCAGGUCUGAGCCUUUUCAGUACCUUGGAUGGGCGACCACAUGGGAAAGCUAGGUUGCUGCCGGAA
rnacentral:rRNA from 1 species